GUCAAGUGAGAAUACCCGCUGAACUUAAGCAUAUCAAUAAGCGGAGGAAAAGAAACUAACAAGGAUUCCCUCAGUAACGGCGAGUGAACCGGGAAAAGCUCAAAUUUAAAAUCGCUUGGGUUUACCUGAGUGAGUUGUAAUUUGAAGAAAGUGUUUCGACUUUUCGGGUUUGAUCCAAAUCCUUUGGGAUGAGGUAUCAUAGAGGGUGAGAAUCCCGUUCAUGAUUGAACCUGAGUUGUCAAUUGAUUCAUUUUCUAAGAGUCGAGUUGUUUGGGAUUGCAGCUCAAAAUGGGUGGUAAAUUUCACCUAAGGCUAAAUAUCUGCAAGAGACCGAUAGCGAACAAGUACCGUGAGGGAAAGAUGAAAAGAACUUUGAAAAGAGAGUUAAAAAGUACGUGAAAUUGUUGAAAGGGAAACGAUUGAAGUCAGUCAUGCUAGCGAGGAAUCAACUUGGUGGUGUGAGUCUCUCAUCUCCUCCGUGUGCACUUCCUCGUCUGGCAGGUUAGCAUCAAUUUUGAUUGUCAUCAAAUAAUUGGGGUAAUGUGGCUUCGCUUCGGUGGAGUGUUAUAGACCCUGGUGGAUGUGGCGAUUGGGAUUGAGGAUUGCAGCGGAUGCCUCUUGGGCUAGUCACCUGGUUCCUGGCUGUCACCUCGCUUUCGACAGCUUGCUGACGAUUGUGGGACUCGGCGGUCUAGAAGUUAGAGUGAUCUUAAAUUCGCUAAGGAUGCUGACGUAAUGGCUUUAAACGACCCGUCUUGAAACACGGACCAAGGAGUCUAACAUGUGUGCGAGUGUU
rnacentral:rRNA from 1 species